rnacentral:rRNA from 1 species
GAUCCUGGCUCAGAUUGAACGCUGGCGGCAGGCCUAACACAUGCAAGUCGAACGGUAACAGGAAGCAGCUUGCUGCUUCGUCUGACGAGUGGCGGACGGGUGAGUAAUGUCUGGGAAACUGCCUGAUGGAGGGGGAUAACUACUGGAAACGGUAGCUCAUACCGCAUAACGUCGCAAGACCAAAGAGGGGGACCUUCGGGCCUCUUGCCAAUCGGAUGUGCCCAGAUGGGAUUUAG